UACGUAGGGGGCUAGCGUUGUUCGGAAUCACUGGGCGUAAAGCGCACGUAGGCGGACUUUCAAGUCAGGGGUGAAAUCCCGGGGCUCAACCUCGGAAUUGCCUUUGAUACUGUAAGUCUCGAGUCCGGAAGAGGUGGGUGGAAUUCCUAGUGUAGAGGUGAAAUUCGUAGAUAUUAGGAAGAACACCAGUGGCGAAGGCGGCUCACUGGACCGGUAUUGACGCUGAGGUGCGAAAGCGUGGGGAGCAAACAGG
rnacentral:rRNA from 1 species